UGAGGAAUAUUGGUCAAUGGGGGCAACCCUGAACCAGCCAAGUCACGUGAAGGAUGAAGGUCUUAUGGAUUGUAAACUUCUUUUACACGGGAAUAAAGUGGGGGACGUGUCCCCCUUUGCAUGUACCGUGUGAAUAAGGAUCGGCUAACUCCGUGCCAGCAGCCGCGGUAAUACGGAGGAUCCGAGCGUUAUCCGGAUUUAUUGGGUUUAAAGGGUGCGCAGGCGGGAUGUUAAGUCGGCGGUGAAAUUUUGCAGCUCAACUGUAAAAGUGCCUUCGAUACUGGCCUCCUUGAGUGUGGAUGAAGUAGGCGGGAUUUGUGGUGUAGCGGUGAAAUGCUUAGAUAUCACGAGGAACUCCGAUUGCGCAGGCAGCUUACUAAGCCACAACUGACGCUCAUGCACGAAGGCGUGGGGAUCAAACA
rnacentral:rRNA from 1 species